rnacentral:rRNA from 1 species
GACGAACGCGGCGGCGUGCCUAAUACAUGCAAGUAGAACGCUGAAGGAGGAGCUUGCUUCUCUGGAUGAGUUGCGAACGGGUGAGUAACGCGUAGGUAACCUGCCUGGUAGCGGGGGAUAACUAUUGGAAACGAUAGCUAAUACCGCAUAAGAGUAGAUGUUGCAUGACAUUUGCUUAAAAGGUGCAAUUGCAUCACUACCAGAUGGACCUGCGUUGUAUUAGCUAGUUGGUGAGGUAACGGCUCACCAAGGCAACGAUACAUAGCCGACCUGAGAGGGUGAUCGGCCACACUGGGACUGAGACACGGCCCAGACUCCUACGGGAGGCAGCAGUAGGGAAUCUUCGGCAAUGGACGGAAGUCUGACCGAGCAACGCCGCGUGAGUGAAGAAGGUUUUCGGAUCGUAAAGCUCUGUUGUAAGAGAAGAAACGAGUGUGAGAGUGGAAAG